rnacentral:rRNA from 1 species
AUAUGCUGGUCUCAAAGAUUAAGCCAUGCAUGUCCAAGUACAAGCCUCACUAAGGUGAAACCGCGAAUGGCUCAUUAAAUCACACCUAAUCUACUGGAUAGUUAACAGUUACUUGGAUAACUGCGGUAAUUCUGGAGCUAAUACAUGCACAAAGCCUCGAACUUACGUGAGAGGCGCUUUUAUUAGAUCAAAACCAAACGGCUUCGGCUGUACUCUUGGUGACUCUGAAUAACUUUGGGCUGAUCGCAUAGCCUUGCGCUGGCGACAUAUCCUUCGAAGGUGUGCCCUAUCAACUGUCGACUGUGACAUAGACGCUCACAGUGGUUUUGACGGGUAACGGAGAAUCAGGGUUCGAUUCCGGAGAGGGAGCCUUAAAAACGGCUACCACAUCUAAGGAAGGCAGCAGGCACGCAAAUUACCCAAUGACCGAAGGUCGAGGUAGUGACGAAAAAUAACGAUCCAGGACUCAUCCGAGGCCCUGGAAUCGGAAUGAGUACACUUUAAAACCGUCCCCGAGGAUCUAUUGGAGGGCAAGUCUGGUGCCAGCAGCCGCGGUAAUUCCAGCUCCAAUAGCGUAUAUUAAAGUUGUUGUGGUUAAAAAGCUCGUAGUUGGAUCUCGGCGGUCCGAGGGCGGUUUACUUGCUAGUAUUACUGCCC